rnacentral:rRNA from 1 species
UGGGGAAUAUUGCACAAUGGGCGAAAGCCUGAUGCAGCAACGCCGCGUGCGGGAUGACGGCCUUCGGGUUGUAAACCGCUUUCAGCAGGGACGAAGGUUUUCUGACGGUACCUGCAGAAGAAGCACCGGCUAACUACGUGCCAGCAGCCGCGGUGAUACGUAGGGUGCGAGCGUUGUCCGGAAUUAUUGGGCGUAAAGAGCUUGUAGGCGGUCCGUUGCGUCGGAAGUGAAAACUCAGGGCUUAACCCUGAGCCUGCUUUCGAUACGGGCGGACUUGAGGGAUGUAGGGGAGAACGGAAUUCCUGGUGGAGCGGUGGAAUGCGCAGAUAUCAGGAGGAACACCAGUGGCGAAGGCGGUUCUCUGGACAUUUCCUGACGUCGGAGAAGCGAAAGCGUGGGGAGCAAACAGGCUUAGAUACCCUGGUAGUCCACGCCGUAAAGGUGGCACUAGGUGUGGACCCAUUCCACGGGUUCCGUGCCGUAGCUAACGCAUUAAGUGCCCCGCCUGGGGAGUACGGCCGCAA